rnacentral:rRNA from 1 species
AGUGAACGCUGGCGGUAGGCCUAACACAUGCAAGUCGAACGGCAGCACAGUAAGAGCUUGCUCUUACGGGUGGCGAGUGGCGGACGGGUGAGGAAUACAUCGGAAUCUACUUUUUCGUGGGGGAUAACGUAGGGAAACUUACGCUAAUACCGCAUACGACCUACGGGUGAAAGCAGGGGAUCUUCGGACCUUGCGCGAUUGAAUGAGCCGAUGUCGGAUUAGCUAGUUGUCGGGGUAAAGGCCCACCAAGGCGACGAUCCGUAGCUGGUCUGAGAGGAUGAUCAGCCACACUGGAACUGAGACACGGUCCAGACUCCUACGGGAGGCAGCAGUGGGGAAUAUUGGACAAUGGGCGAAAGCCUGAUCCAGCCAUACCGCGUGGGUGAAGAAGACCUUCGGGUUGUAAAGCCCUUUUGUUGGGAAAGAAAAGCAGCAGGUUAAUACCCCGCUGUUCUGACGGUACCCAAAGAAUAAGCACCGGCUAACUUCGUG